CAAGAGUGGAGGCCGUAUACAAAGGGACAAUGAGAUGAUGCUGUCUUCUGUUGGUUACUUCAUAGCACUUCCAUUUUCAAAGAACAUCUUCCUGAGAAUAAACUUGGAAAGUAAUGUGACCACAAAACAUCAUAUUCACAGAGUUCAAAGGGAUAUUGGAUACAGAAUAAGAAAAUAUGAGAGAUUAAAACUCAGGAGUUGAGUUCUAGCCUGGAAAACAAGAUGAGAGAACUUUCCAGCCUGCACCAAUGUUCACAGUUCUGAUUGAAUUACAAAAUUUUUCUUCUUUUGAACUCAGAAGUCACUUGGAAACUUUGAGGGAAGUUUCACCACAUCCUUUAAGCCUUUCUUCUGGUUAGCAGGGGAGAUCCAUUAGAACUUAGAGAAAUAUCCCAGCCUCCAGUAUCAGUAGCCUUGCCAGCCUACCCCUAGGAUGCCUGGCCAGGCUUCAUUGUCAGUGUGGUUCACGGUCACAGUUUUACCUUCAGCUAGCCAUAUUUUCCUGGAUGGUCUUAAACUAUUUGCUGAGUUUGGGUUUUUUGUUUUGUCUUAUUGGAUUUUGUUUGUUUGGUUUGUUUGUUUGUUUUGCAGAGAGUUUUCAGACUUUCUGUUAGGUAAAUUUUAAAUUACCAUUAAGAAAUGCUUUCCAAGUUGUGCAUUGCCAAGUAACUGCUUCUCACUAUUCUAGUUUCGUUGGAAUUUUGGUAUUUUUAUUUUGUGUCUUGAUCUUUGGACACGAACCACACCAUUAUUAGUUUCUACUAGAGAUAUUUGUGUGUGUGGCAUGUGUACUUGAUCAUGUGUAUGUCUGCACAUAACGUGCACAUAGGUGUAGAGGACAGAGGUUGACUUUGGGUGUUUUCCUCCAUCACUCUUCCUCCUUAGGUUUUCACCGAAGGUCUCUCACUGAACCUGUGAUUCAUCAGUUCAGACAGGCUGGCUAGCCAGCAAGUUUCCAAGAUCUACAUGUCUGCCCUCUCAGGCCUGGGGUUAUCAGCCAUAUUAGAUGAGCACUUUACUAACUGAAUCAUCUACUACACCCUGUGGAAACAAUGUAUCCAGGGGAUUUUUAUCUGGGGCUUUCUUAUUCAUCUACUUUAUCUUCUUUCUAAGUAUCCUUUCCUGGCAUUUGUUACAUCACAGGCUUUUGUAUCUGUAUUUCUUGACUCCUUCCUAGUUAUUUCAGUCCUGCUUUCCCUUUUUUGUUAUCUUAGCCGGGACUCUUAAAGCGUGUGUGGGCAGCUGCUCCUCUGUGGCCUUUAUGGGCCUCUCCUCUUGAGAAAGUACUUUAUUAAGGCAAACCGCAGCUCCUGUCAGUCAGUCAGUUUCAGGGCUACAAGUACUACUUAUCAUUCUCCUCCAUAGUCAAUGCAAGUUCUAUGUCCCUUAGGUUGUUUCUUCCAUAAGCCUAAGGGCUUUGCUUGUAUGACCCAAAUCCUCAUUCCUGAAUUUAAAAAAAAAAAUGUGUAUCAGUAAUUAUUUAUAUCUUACUCUGGAAUUGCUGCACAUAUCCUUCCAAAUUACAAUUUGGAAUCAAAAUGUUCCCAGAUCAGUUACCUAUAUGUUUUUCUCUGCCUACCAUCAUUUUGGUUUCCUAUUGCUCUAGCUCAGUUACCACUGCCAAGAUGGGAAAUCCUUGCCUGCUCAUACCUGGAUCCAGAGUUCAAAAUCAAAAUGGCUCUAACAUAGUCUAGUGGGACUCUUAUUGUGUCUCCUGGCAGAAAUGCAUCCCAUUUGGAAGCCAGGACUUUUAUACCUUCAGUGUACAGAGUUAUGGGGACUGGAAAGUGUUCCCUAACAAGUCAGUAGGACUGGUGUUCAGUGGGGUCAUUUCUGCUUUCUCUGUUUUGUUCUUGGAACCAUGUGUUUGUUCUUAGUAGGGAUAAUAAUCCAAGCCAGUGUAUGUACUACUUCCUGAAGGAUGGCAUUUAAUCCUUAUGAAACCCUGCUUCUGAACUGGCACUUCAGUUAUACCAUUAUUACAUUGAAAGCAAACAUUAAACAGCUAGGUCAGAAACACUGAGGAAGGUAAAUAAGAAGGCUUGCACUUGGCUAUGAAAUAGCCAAGCUGAGCAGGUAAGAGAAGAGGCAGAACUCUGGGCUGUUUCAGCAGGGCCCAGGAGCCCCACCCUCUCCUGCAGCAACAUGUGCAAGGUAUUGUUGCCCUUUCCCUUAGUAAACAUCUAAAAUUUACAGGUAGUUAACCCUCAUGGAUAACCAUGCAUCUAAUUGUAACAGACUGAAUUGUGGGUAAUGGCUUCUGAGAAAGCCUGCACCUUUUUUAGGAGGGCGACCUCUCCAGACUGCCCCAGGGAUAGACAAAGGAGAACUGGUGGGCAAAGUCCAGACGCUAGAGGCAUUCCUUGGCCAUUGCCACUUGGCUCACAGUACCCUCCCAUCUUGCCUUUGCCUUCCCACCUGCUACAGUAAACCUCAAGAACUUGUUUGCCCUACCUGUCCCCUAAUGUGAAUCUCUUUACUUGAGAUUGGAGGACAUGUGGGAGGAGACAUCUCUAACACCCUCAGUAGGUUGCCUGGUGAUCGAUCUGUCAAACUGAAUGACCCUGUUGAUUCCCUGGUCAUGAAUUCACAUGUUAUCUUUUUACUGUGAAGUAGGUCCCGUUUGCAUGCUGUUGAAUUGGAUCCCAUACCUGUGGUUCAGGCAUUCUUUAAGGAACUAAGUCAUGAUAAUAUAGGCCAAGGCACUGAAAGGCAUAACAACAAGUCCAUACCCAGAAUUCACCCCUGUUGGGAUAGACCACUAGCUACUCCAAAAUGGAAAGAGUCCAUGUUAUUGACCAGGUAUCUGAUUUGUCUUGAGUAAUACUGCAGUAUUGAGAACACAGUGUAGUCCUCUGCUCCUAUCAGGUUCCUUAGAAACAGGUGUAGAUAUGGAUUGGCUUUUGUAGCUGGGAAUUUAUGUUGUGACUCACAUAUAGCCUCCUGUGCAAACAUGACAACUCAUGUGUUGUCUUAGUGACAGUUCUAGAGUAGGCCAUGACAAACACUUGCUUAACACCAACUGAUAGAAUCCUUUGUCAGUAUGAAUUUUUCUGUUUCUCUUUCAUGAUGGAUGUUCUAGUCAGAAUGAACCUGUCAUUAGCCGCUAAGCAAGACAGGCACCAUCAGGGACAGAAUCCUAGGUUGAUGCACCUUCAGGGUAUCCUUUCUUUAUUUGCAGCUAAGGCUCUAUGGCUUAAGAGCAUUCCUUGGGGCGUGUCUACUCAUUAGUUUUUGCUCUGCAAGCUCCAGAAUGUGUCUACUAUAGCCUCUUUUAAAACUAUGACCUUAAACUGAAUCUGCUCAGGGAUGUACUCCUUAACUAAGCCUGCCCCUUGCUCAGUCCUGGGCCAAUCCUUACGUGAAUGUGUAUAGGCUCUCGGAAUACAAUUCCCAUGCUUGCUUUAUUGGAAGAUGUUUGGAAAGAACACCUUUGUUCGCCCUUAUCUAUUGCAAGUAAUCUUUCUCUACUCUUUUUAUAUAUUGACUGUGAUUAUUUUGGCUUGCACUCAAUGAUAUGUGACCCCAUUAUAUUUGACUACAAUAUAAUAAAAAAGAUCCUCACUCCAUGUGACCACAUAUCUCCAUUUCUAUACCUCUCUUCCUUACCUCAUUGUCUCUGACCUUCCAGUCUUCUCUGCUGAGAAAGUCUAUACAGGAUGAUCAUGCCAUCAAACACUUGAAACUAACAACAGUAACAAUGAGAAACUGAAGUGGAAAUUUAAGGGCUCUUUGGAAAGUCAUCUGUGUUGAUGGUGUUUUGCUGGGGCAGACACGUGCAGUACCAUUCUCCUGAAGCGGACCCAGGAGAGAGGAUGCUCUGCUAAAGCAAGCACGUGAACAGACACGUGAUGGAUUCUUAGCCAACUACACACAUGAAUUGGUCUACCUUACAUUGCAUAGUUGAGCUCCUUUUAUUGGGACUCCAU
rnacentral:lncRNA from 1 species